UUCUUUCAAAAUUCUUCUCUUAUUCAAUCCUCUUCCACUUCUCGCUUUUAGGGUUUCAAUUUCUUUAAUAGCGCCCGGUCCUAAUCGCUCUGAUACCAGCGCCACCAAAGACAACGCUGUUGCAAAGAAGAAAGUCGAGAACGAAGAUCUGUCCGAUGAGGAUUUGGCACUGAAGCAGCAAUAGAGUUGUGCGUGGAGAGGGUUCAGGAUCCCCGACUAGGGAUUGCAGAAGGUUUCAAUGAGGGGUAUGGAUCUUUUUUGUUGCGGGAUUUGCCCUUUGAUGCUAUUCAGUUUUGCAUCUACAAGCAGAUUUGAAUAAGUUAUAUAUGCUUGCGGUGCACUAACUGGAGCUAUAACUACCCCCUUGAUGUCAUCAAGACAAGGUUAAUGGUUCAACUAAGCUGUGAACUUUCUUUUUUUAAUCUUGUUUUUACAAGGUAGCCAUCUUUCUCCAUACACAAAUGCAGAAAUGAUACCUUCUGUAUAUGGCUAAUCUACAAGCAAAUCAAUAAUAAUAUUCAGUGUAAAUUAUCAAGUCAUUCAUAAGUUCCUAUUUUCCUCCUCAAGGGAUCUGCAAACCAAUAUAAGGGAAUCGCAGACUGUGUUCAAACAAAUCUAUGUAAGGAGAGGUAGGCCUUCGGUGACUAACAGGGGAUCAUAAUCUUUUUGACU